UACGAAGGGGGCUAGCGUUGCUCGGAAUUACUGGGCGUAAAGGGCGCGUAGGCGGACAGCUUAGUCAGAGGUGAAAGCCCGAGGCUCAACCUCGGAACUGCCUCCGAUACUGCGGGUCUCGAGUCCGGGAGAGGUGAGUGGAAUUCCUAGUGUAGAGGUGAAAUUCGUAGAUAUUAGGAAGAACACCAGUGGCGAAGGCGGCUCACUGGCUCGUAACUGACGCUCAUGCACGACAAGCGUGGGGAUCAAACAGG
rnacentral:rRNA from 1 species